rnacentral:sRNA from 1 species
CCGCAGCCAUGGAGCCCCGCAGCAUGGAGUACUUCUGCGCCCAGGUGCAGCAGAAGGACGUCGGCGGCCGGCUGCAGGUCGGCCAGGAACUCCUGCUCUACCUUGGCGCCCCCGGCGCCAUCCCGGACCUGGAGGAGGACCUGGGCCGCCUAGGCAAGACAAUCGACGCGCUCACCGGCUGGGUGGGUUCGAGCAACUACCGGGUAUCAUUAAUGGGAUUGGAAAUUUUAAGUGCCUUUGUGGACAAAUUAUCAACACGCUUUAAAUCCUAUGUAGCAAUGGUUAUUGUAGCUUUAAUAGACAGAAUGGGAGAUGCCAAAGACAAGGUUCGAGAUGAAGCUCAGACUCUGAUAUUGAAGUUAAUGGAUCAAGUAGCACCACCUAUGGUAAGCCUACAUUUUAAAAUUCAGAUUUUGCCAAUGGUAAUCACAGGAAAUCAUUAAAGCCACAGCAAGCAUGAACACUGAAAUUUUAAGCAAUGAUUU